UUGAAGAACUAUAGGAUAUAUCCAAAAAAUCUAAUAGAUUUUUUUUUUGUCUUUUGUUUUACAAUUUGCUGUAAAAUUUUUACUGGAGUCGUUGUUUGUACGUUGUUCAGUCUAGUGAAGUUUACGCUCUUCUCAACGGUGGAUGGUAGGAUGGUACCAGUGUACGUGGGCGGACGGGUUCCUGGACGAAUUUCCUGGUCACUCAUUUAGUUACGUAAAGAAGUGAUAAUCUCCGGGAUAAUCUCUUGCGGGUCCAAAGUGAAGGUCGAGGACGGGUCAAGGUCACAGGCAUCGCUUAAACAAAUAUAUAAAUAUACCACAAAUGGCCUAGCUUUGUUUCAUUCAAAUAGCUCUGUAGCUCACUGUUUUUUGGGUUUUUCAAAUGAUCGAAUUGCAAAAUGCAGAAACGCUGGUUUUGUGUUGGGAGAAUGAAAACCGCGGGAAAACCCUUAAAUAAUCCUCGACUGAAGGCCUAAAAGCCAUUUAAAUGCAUGUACGUGACAACGAUGGUUUUGAAGACAACCUUGGCUCAUGUUAUCUAAUCAACACAUUCUGUUAAAGAAUUAAAGUAAAAACGCCUGAGCAUAGUCAGUAAAACAAGAAGGAUUAUCUUUGCUUGGAUAAAAUAACGAUUCCUGAUAGUAAUGGUGUAAAUGGAACAAACACUUGAAGAUAACACGACCAUAUUGUUCUUUUCCCAAGGUUAAUGUUAAUAUAUGCUUCCGGAUUAAACGAGGCCAUGUCCACUGUGA